rnacentral:rRNA from 1 species
UGGCGGACGGGUGAGUAACGCGUGGGCAACCUGCCCUCUAGAUGGGGACAACAUCCCGAAAGGGGUGCUAAUACCGAAUGUGACAGCAAUUUCGCAUGAGGAUGCUGUGAAAGAUGGCCUCUAUUUAUAAGCUAUCGCUAGAGGAUGGGCCUGCGUCUGAUUAGCUAGUUGGUGGGGUAACGGCCUACCAAGGCGAUGAUCAGUAGCCGGUCUGAGAGGAUGAACGGCCACAUUGGGACUGAGACACGGCCCAGACUCC